ACUUUGGGGACUAUUAAAAGGCCAGGGAUCUCAGGGUCCGCGAGGGUUCAUAUUGUAAAAGCAAUUCUGAAAGAUAAGAUGGUCCAAGACCCCUAAGACAUUUAAAAACCAUUAAAAGGACCUCAAAAAUCAACCCUAAAGCACACAGGGAGCCAAUGCAGUGAUUUUAAAACCGGUUUAAUAUGUGCACUCUGGUCCUCGUCAGCACACGUGCUGCUGAGUUUUGCAACAGUUGUAAACUCGCAAUGUUUCUUUUUGGAAGACCAGAAAGCAGGACUUUACAAAAGUCAAGACGGCUGGAGAUAAAAGCAUGUAUUAGCGUCUCUGUGUUAGCCCGGGAGAGAAAGGGGCGGACUUUGGCUAUAUUCUUUAAAUGAUAAAACCCUGUUUUUGUUAUAUUUUUAAUAUGUGGGAUAAAAGUCAGCUCAGAGUCAAAGAUGACGCCCAGAUUCUUUACCUGAUUUGAUGGAAUUAAAGACAGGUUUUUCAGUUUUGUUAAAAGUUUCUCUCCCCGAGCUUUAGGAUCAAUAACUAAAACCUCAGUUUUGUCCUGGUUGAGCUGUAGGAAGUUUUCUGCCAUCCAGGAUUUAAUGUCUAGGAUACAGCUAAAAAGGGCAUCAAUUGGCCCUGUGUCAUCAGGAGACAUGGAUUUGUAGAGCUGUGUGUCAUCAGCAUAGCUGUGAAAAGUGAUACCAUGCCUCUUGAUGACAUCUCCCAGUGGGAGCAUAUAUAAAUUAAAAGUUAUAGGGCCUAAACACCACAUUUAAUGCUAUGAAUCUUUGAAGAGCAUGUGUCCAAACUUACAAGAAACUUUUGAUCUGUGAGAUAGGAGUUAAACCAUUGAAAGGCAGUACCAGAGAGGCCUACAAGGUGUCUUAGUCUAUUUAAAAAAAUUGUGUGAUCUACUGUAUCAAAAGCAGCGCUUAGAUCCAGUAGCACAAGGACUGUAAGCUUGUGUGAGUCCAAGUUGCAAAUAAGAUCAUUAACAAUUUUCAGUAGUGCAGUCUCGGUAUUGUGGUUCGUCCUAAAUCCAGAUUGAACUCCAGGAUGGAACAGUUAUUUAAAAAAUCAUUCAACUAAAUAAAAACAAGUUUUUCUAAAAUUUUGCUUAAAAAUGGUUAGUUGGACACUGGUCUGUAGUUAUUAAGAACAUUAGGGUCCAAAUUGUUCUUCUUCAGAAGUGGUCUCACUUCUGCCGUUUUAAGGGCAGCAAGGAAAGAGCUUGUCUGAAGAGAACAAUUCACUAUAUUUAAAAGCUCACCUUCAAAGAAUCCAUAAAAAAAUUUAAAAACAAGCUUUCCACUGUAUUAGAAACAGUGUUUUGAAUAGAUGAAAUAGAGGAUCAUAUAAAAAUCAAUUUUACCCCUGAAGUGGUCUGCAAAACCUUCGCAAAGUGUGUCUGAAGGAGUGAGUUGAUAUCUGUUAAAAACCGGGUUUAUUAAAAGAUCAAUUGUAGCAAAGAGGAUUUUAGGGUUAUUUUUAUGAUCCGUGAUUAUGUUGGUAAAAUAGGUGGAUCUUGUGUGUCUGAGAGCUUUAUUGUACAUUUUCAGUUGCUCGCAGUAUAUUUGAUAAUUAAUUGUGAUUUUAUUUUUCCUCCAUCUCCGCUCAGCUACCCUGCAAUUUCUUUUAAGUUUUUUGAUUUCCUCAUUUCUCCACGGCGGUGUGCGCUUAGGCAGUACCUUUUUUGUUUUCGGUGGAGCUACAGGGUCGAGUGUGGUUUCAAGUUUGUUGAUAAAAUGUUGAACAAUAAAAUCACAGGAUGCAGGUAGAGUAGCUGAGGGAUGCUUACUUAAGAUCUUGAUAAAAUUUGCAGCCACUUCUGACGUGAAAUAGCAUUUCCUGACAGUUCGCACCGAGGUCCCCCGCUUAAUAAAACUGGUGAUAUUAAAAAAACACACAAUAAUGGUCCGACACAGCCAGGUCAACAACAGAGGACACACUGGCUGAAAGGCCAUAGCUGAGGACUAGAUCCAAAGUGUGUCCUCCGUUGUGAGUCGGCUGUGUGACGUGUUGUGUAAAAUCCAAGCAACUAAGUAGAUUUAAAAACUCUUUUGCCAUUGAAUCAGAUGGAUUGUCUAUGUGUAAAUUAAAAUCACCAGAUAUAAUAAUAAAAUUGUAAGCUGCAUGGAUUAUUGCUAAAAAUUCAGAAAAUUCACUGAUAAAAGCAACACCAUGUUUUGGUGUUCUGUAAACAGUUAUACAAAGAAUUGAGGGACUGUUAAAAACAACUGCAUGAUGUUCAAAGGUGGUGUACUGAUCAAAUUGUAUUUCUUUUGUCCUUAGUGAGUUAUUGACUAUUGAUGCAGUACUACCACCUUUCUGCCACUUCUAAGGGAGAACGUAAAGUUAAAAUAAGGUGGGGAGGCCUCAGUGAAAAUAACUGGUGUGUCUGUACACAGCUAUGUUUCAGUUAAAAACAGAUAAUCAACCUUGUUGUCUAAAAUCAGGUCAUGGAGAAUAAAAGAUUAGUUUAAAAGAGAGCAAAUAUUUAAAACUGCCAUGUUAAUGUUGACGGGUGAUUUACAGACUUUGUGGUUAGAUUGUUGAUGUUUUGGGAGAGGUCUGAGGUUAUAGAAGUUCGCAGAGUGUACAUGAUGGAGUCUGGCUGUCUCUCGCUGAGUGAUCAUGACAGGAAUGGGUGAAUGGUUAAUGAAAACAGAGGGUCCAAGUCCAGUAUUGUGUGUGACAGAGGUGGAACUAAAAUCAUAGGAACUGGGACCUGGGGGACAUCAAUCAGUGGCGGAAAGGUCAGUUGGUGUACGUUUGGGGUGAUGGGAGGAAAGUGAGAGUUGAGUAUGUUGUAGACCGUGGGCUCUAUUUUCGUGCCUCGCCGGAGACGUGCCGCAAGCGCGGCGUCAGUCAGAUCCGCUGCGCUGACAAGGCGUUCCCAAGCACAUUUUGGUAUUUUGGUGAGCCGCGCAGCCCGGCGUAAGUAUCCCCCCUCCCUAACUCAGCUCCUCCCA